UUAAGCGACUAAGCGUACACGGUGGAUGCCCUGGCAGUCAGAGGCGAUGAAGGACGUGCUAAUCUGCGAUAAGCGUCGGUAAGGUGAUAUGAACCGUUAUAACCGGCGAUUUCCGAAUGGGGAAACCCAGUGUGUUUCGACACACUAUCAUUAACUGAAUCCAUAGGUUAAUGAGGCGAACCGGGGGAACUGAAACAUCUAAGUACCCCGAGGAAAAGAAAUCAACCGAGAUUCCCCCAGUAGCGGCGAGCGAACGGGGAGCAGCCCAGAGCCUGAAUCAGUAUGUGUGUUAGUGGAAGCGUCUGGAAAGGCGCGCGAUACAGGGUGACAGCCCCGUACACAAAAAUGCACAUGCUGUGAGCUCGAUGAGUAGGGCGGGACACGUGGUAUCCUGUCUGAAUAUGGGGGGACCAUCCUCCAAGGCUAAAUACUCCUGACUGACCGAUAGUGAACCAGUACCGUGAGGGAAAGGCGAAAAGAACCCCGGCGAGGGGAGUGAAAAAGAACCUGAAACCGUGUACGUACAAGCAGUGGGAGCACGCUUAGGCGUGUGACUGCGUACCUUUUGUAUAAUGGGUCAGCGACUUAUAUUCUGUAGCAAGGUUAACCGAAUAGGGGAGCCGAAGGGAAACCGAGUCUUAACUGGGCGUUAAGUUGCAGGGUAUAGACCCGAAACCCGGUGAUCUAGCCAUGGGCAGGUUGAAGGUUGGGUAACACUAACUGGAGGACCGAACCGACUAAUGUUGAAAAAUUAGCGGAUGACUUGUGGCUGGGGGUGAAAGGCCAAUCAAACCGGGAGAUAGCUGGUUCUCCCCGAAAGCUAUUUAGGUAGCGCCUCGUGAAUUCAUCUCCGGGGGUAGAGCACUGUUUCGGCAAGGGGGUCAUCCCGACUUACCAACCCGAUGCAAACUGCGAAUACCGGAGAAUGUUAUCACGGGAGACACACGGCGGGUGCUAACGUCCGUCGUGAAGAGGGAAACAACCCAGACCGCCAGCUAAGGUCCCAAAGUCAUGGUUAAGUGGGAAACGAUGUGGGAAGGCCCAGACAGCCAGGAUGUUGGCUUAGAAGCAGCCAUCAUUUAAAGAAAGCGUAAUAGCUCACUGGUCGAGUCGGCCUGCGCGGAAGAUGUAACGGGGCUAAACCAUGCACCGAAGCUGCGGCAGCGACACUAUGUGUUGUUGGGUAGGGGAGCGUUCUGUAAGCCUGUGAAGGUGUACUGUGAGGUAUGCUGGAGGUAUCAGAAGUGCGAAUGCUGACAUAAGUAACGAUAAAGCGGGUGAAAAGCCCGCUCGCCGGAAGACCAAGGGUUCCUGUCCAACGUUAAUCGGGGCAGGGUGAGUCGACCCCUAAGGCGAGGCCGAAAGGCGUAGUCGAUGGGAAACAGGUUAAUAUUCCUGUACUUGGUGUUACUGCGAAGGGGGGACGGAGAAGGCUAUGUUGGCCGGGCGACGGUUGUCCCGGUUUAAGCGUGUAGGCUGGUUUUCCAGGCAAAUCCGGAAAAUCAAGGCUGAGGCGUGAUGACGAGGCACUACGGUGCUGAAGCAACAAAUGCCCUGCUUCCAGGAAAAGCCUCUAAGCAUCAGGUAACAUCAAAUCGUACCCCAAACCGACACAGGUGGUCAGGUAGAGAAUACCAAGGCGCUUGAGAGAACUCGGGUGAAGGAACUAGGCAAAAUGGUGCCGUAACUUCGGGAGAAGGCACGCUGAUAUGUAGGUGAAGUCCCUCGCGGAUGGAGCUGAAAUCAGUCGAAGAUACCAGCUGGCUGCAACUGUUUAUUAAAAACACAGCACUGUGCAAACACGAAAGUGGACGUAUACGGUGUGACGCCUGCCCGGUGCCGGAAGGUUAAUUGAUGGGGUCAGCGCAAGCGAAGCUCUUGAUCGAAGCCCCGGUAAACGGCGGCCGUAACUAUAACGGUCCUAAGGUAGCGAAAUUCCUUGUCGGGUAAGUUCCGACCUGCACGAAUGGCGUAAUGAUGGCCAGGCUGUCUCCACCCGAGACUCAGUGAAAUUGAACUCGCUGUGAAGAUGCAGUGUACCCGCGGCAAGACGGAAAGACCCCGUGAACCUUUACUAUAGCUUGACACUGAACAUUGAGCCUUGAUGUGUAGGAUAGGUGGGAGGCUUUGAAGUGUGGACGCCAGUCUGCAUGGAGCCGACCUUGAAAUACCACCCUUUAAUGUUUGAUGUUCUAACGUUGACCCGUGAUCCGGGUUGCGGACAGUGUCUGGUGGGUAGUUUGACUGGGGCGGUCUCCUCCUAAAGAGUAACGGAGGAGCACGAAGGUUGGCUAAUCCUGGUCGGACAUCAGGAGGUUAGUGCAAUGGCAUAAGCCAGCUUGACUGCGAGCGUGACGGCGCGAGCAGGUGCGAAAGCAGGUCAUAGUGAUCCGGUGGUUCUGAAUGGAAGGGCCAUCGCUCAACGGAUAAAAGGUACUCCGGGGAUAACAGGCUGAUACCGCCCAAGAGUUCAUAUCGACGGCGGUGUUUGGCACCUCGAUGUCGGCUCAUCACAUCCUGGGGCUGAAGUAGGUCCCAAGGGUAUGGCUGUUCGCCAUUUAAAGUGGUACGCGAGCUGGGUUUAGAACGUCGUGAGACAGUUCGGUCCCUAUCUGCCGUGGGCGCUGGAGAACUGAGGGGGGCUGCUCCUAGUACGAGAGGACCGGAGUGGACGCAUCACUGGUGUUCGGGUUGUCAUGCCAAUGGCACUGCCCGGUAGCUAAAUGCGGAAGAGAUAAGUGCUGAAAGCAUCUAAGCACGAAACUUGCCCCGAGAUGAGUUCUCCCUGACCCUUUAAGGGUCCUGAAGGAACGUUGAAGACGACGACGUUGAUAGGCCGGGUGUGUAAGCGCAGCGAUGCGUUGAGCUAACCGGUACUAAUGAACCGUGAGGCUUAACCUU
rnacentral:rRNA from 1 species